rnacentral:lncRNA from 1 species
CACCUCCGCCUUCCUCCCACCCCAAUCCCGCCAUAUCCUCCACGGAACAUUCCUUAUGUAUUGACAAAUCAAAUAGGCGGUUGAAACGAAUGCGUAAAGGAAUUCCAUCCAGCCAAUUGUCAGUCCAAAAGAAAGUAUUACGACCACUACCUACCACCUACCUACAAUUAUCAUCAAACCCCGUUCCCACCCCUUCUCUAACGUGACACAUCAUCCUCCACCACCCUGAAGUACUUCUUCCCCCUCCCUGAAUUCGAGUAGCUAAUAUCCUUGGGUUAGGUCAUUUGGAUUACCCUCUCUGCAACUAUUUGAACGUAAUCAAUCGGUACUUUUGAAUAGAGUUACUCUAUUUGAUUUUAUUCGAUUAUGACUUGCUUAUUAAUGUGUUUUAUACGUUUAUAAAUGUUAGUUAAAUGAUCCAAUCACAUUGCCCAUUAACCCUAGCACUGAGAUUUGCACUAGUUAUUAAAUGUUCAAUUUGUAGUAGUUAUUUCUUUUGGUUUCAUUCAAUUUCAUGGCAUGGACCAACUCUCUGAAUACUAUACUAAUGCUGGCCGCAAGAUAGAUUUGUUAUUUCUAACGAUUAGCUUGAUUGAGUUAGGGUUUUAAAUCAAUUUUGGUUCUUUUGUUUUACAAAUCAAAACACGUGAUCUAUUGUUUCUUUCACUUGAACGCUUGAUUGAGUGUCAUUGUUUCCAUGUUUAAUUUUGUUAUUUUUGGUAACAGCACAGUACAUAUAAAAAAAGAGUAAAAUAAUAAAGGAAGCACCCCACCGUAUAAGGGGGUUAAUUAUUUAUUAUUAUUUUUUAAAUUAGGUAUCCUCUGCGUACAAUUGUGAAGACGAAUUCCUCAAAUCUUGGAUGUGUAUAAACUCAUUUAUUUGGUCCGUGUUUAAGUUUUUUUCUUCCGAUAUUAGAAACUAUAUAUUGAAUAGUCCGUAAAACAAAGAAAGCCACUAUUAACAAAAACCAACUCCUCAAAGAAUAAACAUCCGAAUGAUGCAUAGUGUAAUUAGAUUAAGAAUUUGUCAUUCAAAACAAUAGAGAAUUGAAAUGGUUAAUAAUGUGUCAUUAAAACCAAUAGAAAAUUGAAAUUAAAGAAAACUAGAAUAUUGUACCAAAAAAAAAAAAAAAAACUAAACUAACUUAAAUUUAGCAGUCCAAAAACAAAUGUGUAGAAAAUAAAGACAAUUACAAGAACUGAACAACUAUAUUCUAUCAUUAUCUGUGUUUCUCUUUCUCCUGGUGCAUUUUUAGUAGAGAUCUCUUCCCAAUUAAAGACGAGAAACCAUGAAAGUGUGAUGCACCAUAGGAUAGAAGUGAUAGCCGCAGCGGUACGCGAAACUACAAAGACUUCUAUAAUUGAUGUCACACUUGAUAGCAACAGAACGCAUAAGAUUGCAAAUAUAUUGUUGUUGUGGUCAUUGUUGUUGGAACGAUGUUGUAGUGUAACAAGUAGUAUCAUUUGAAAAACUAAAACAAAAACACAGAGUGAGAGCAACACUAUAGUGUCAUGUUGUGCAAUGAAUUUACCAGCGAAUGAUGACAUCUUUAGGGCUACGCAGAUAAUUAAAAGCAUGGAUAAUUGCCCUGCAUGCGGACACAAGUACUUGCAGAAAGCUCUCAUCUACGUUGUUCAUCAUGAACCUAUAAAUUAAUGAGAUAAUUAGAUACAUACAUUGAUUUUUGAGUUUUUGUUUUGUUGUGUAACCUAAAGAAAUUAAAAGACGCAGAAUAGUAAAUAUAUGAAGGUAAAUCAAAGGGAUUGAGUACCUUGGGUUAACUGGAUUAGAGGAUAUAUAUAUAUAUAUAUAUAUAUAUAUAUAUAUAUAUAUUGUCAGGUAGUCUAGUGGAUAGAAUUCACCUUAUAAGGUGAAUAAGUGGGGUUCGAACCCUGAUCCCUCCCUGCAUAUAAUAAUGUAUUAUCCUACCAAUGAGUUAGGCUCACGAGACACGGGAUAGAGGAUUUAUAUUCUUCCAUCUUAAUCACUUGAUAUGCUAUCACAAACAAUAACAAUGCAUGUAGAUAUGUUCAUGAGAUUUUUUUAUUUAUUUUUUGACAAAAAUAUAUAGGCAUGAGAUAUACAUAUAUGCAUCUAUAUAUAACCAGCGACACUCUUUAGAUAGUAAAUUUUUAUAGAAAUUUAUAUAUUCAAUGUAUUGAAAAUUGAAGUAUUAAACUUUUUUAAUGAAUAAUUUCUUAACUAUGAAUCCUUAAAGAGUACCCUAAAAGUACUAAAAGAGUAGAAUUAAAAUAAAAUAAAAAAGAUUAAAGAGAUCUAGUAUCUUGGAUUAAAUGGAGUAGAGGACUUCAAUUUUCCUUCCAUCGUAAUCAAUAAUCACUUGAUCUUCCCUUGUUUGGCAGCACUUGAGUCAAUUAGGUUAAUGACUAAUUAUUAUAGUAGGACUAUUUAAAAAGAUGUUCCCGCAAAGCCAUAACAAACUUAAGAAGACAAGUAUCGCAAAUUUGGUAUUCAUUAUUUAAUAAAAGUAAUUUUGACAUAAAAUAAUUUAGAGGAUUAUGAGCUCGUUUAUUAUUGUUUUUUUAAGAUAAAAAUCACUUUUAAAAAAAAAAAAAAAAUCACUUUUAAGAGUUUUAAAUCCGUUUGUUAUAAAUUUUUUAAAAAAUUAGAAUCUAACAAAAAUUUUAAAAAAGCUUCAAAUGAGAAGCUGUUAAAAGCAGCGUCUAAAAAAAAAAUAAUUUAGAGGAUAGAGAAAAAAUGGUUUAAAAGAUUGAACUAAUUUUAUAACAAAAAAAAAUCUCUUUUAUGUAGUUAUGUCAAACAAACUAAAUUAUUUGUUUUAAAAAAGUGAUUUUUAUUACGGUUAAACAAACGCUACUUCUUAAGACGCCAAGAGUAGGAGUUGGUGCGUGUCGUGACAUCUUGUUGAUCCUAUUUUGAGACGUCUGAGUUGUAACAAUUUGAUAAUCUUAAACUUCUGCAAUCAACAAUUCAAAUGAAUAAUCAAACUUGUUCAUCAAUCAACUUUCGGAUAAACUUGAUAAUAUGCAUUCAAUAAUAAAGGAGAAUUACAGUAUUUUAAAGUUAAACUAAAUCUUGCACAACUAAUUGUCUCCGUGAACUUAGCUCAGCUAGUAAAGACAAUGCAUAAUAUAUGCAAUCCGGGGUUCAAACCCUGGAUACCAUAAAAUAAAAUAAAAAACAGAUUAGAGGAAACUUUUUUUUAAUGAAUGCUGUAGAACGCAAAUAUUUUUCCUGCACAUAAUCAAUCCCCGAACUCGAAAUCAGGUUUCAAGAACCAUAUUUUUUUUAAAGGGUUUUUUCCCAAUGUUUUUCCUAUUUUAAUAAGUUUUGGUGACGACUUUAUUGUUUUACGAGCAACCCUCGAUUUGUUUUCAAGAAUUUCAAACCUGAAAUUUAAUGCGAGCGACCAUUUUUUUUUUCAUUUUAAAGGAUUUUUUCAAUGUUUUCACUAUUUUCAUAAUUUUUUGUGGUAACUUCAUUAUUUCCGAGCAACCGGUGCAUGCUUUGCAACCCUCAAAUUUUAAGUCACAACGUAGUAAAGUAAAAUAUUAAAACAUAUUACUUAUAUAAUCUAAUAUAAUGAAAUGAAAUAUAGUUUUGCAUGAAGAGUUUGAGGAAGGAAAGCUUGUGAAUCAUGCCAUUUUGGCCGACAUGGUAAGCAUUGAUGCAGUCUACAAUUAUCUUCUAACCUUUUUGAAAAUGUGAAUGUCCUUUCUUAGAAGGAAAUUAGUGGAUGAAUGGUUGGAUUCUUUACAAUAUUGUAUACUUGUUGUAGAUGGAAUAACUUCCGAGGUGACUGGUUAGAUGUUUUACAAGAUUAUGUGCAAAAUAUUGAUAUUACACUCUAUAAGUCCAAGCUUAAAAGCUUAACAAUAAAAUUUGGUACCAAACAAAAUCGUCUCUUGUACCAAGAAAGCUAUGAUACAACUUAUCAACCUUGCUUAAAAUGAAACACUACUUGACAAUACAAAAAAGGAGAUCCUCAAUUCGAGUAAGCGCGAGGGCAAUUCAAAGCAAAUUAUCAACUUUUCAAAAGAGGAUGUAUGAGUGGUAGUAUAGGGCGGAUGAGUAGUAGUAGCUCAUGAGUCAUUUUGUUCAAAGACUGUAUGGAUAAUAGUUGAGGAGUUCUUUAGUAUCUAAUAGUGUAUGGUUUGUUUGGUUAAUCAAACAAAUCAUACAAUAUUCGGUACCUCCUGAACUUCGAAAUUCAUAUUCAUGUAGUCGUGGAGUGAGAAAGCUCAUAAACUAUCAUAUAGGUUCCCUCUUCAACUAAUCUUAUGCCCUAUUUUACGAAAUUGAUAAUUUCCUUUAAAAUGAACUGUAGCGUGAUCCAUUGGAGCGAUCUCUUUUUUUUAUUGUCAAAUAACAUUUUAUUUUCAGCAAAAUGGACAAAUUUUACCACAACUUUAUUGUUACAUGAAAGAUGUUUGUUUGGUACCCUCAUUCUAUCGUUAAACCUUUUGGGCUUGGAGUUUUAGAGUAUUGUUAACAUUAUUUGGCACAAAGUCUUGUAAAUCAUUGACCAACUCAUCAAGGUAGCCAUGAUAUUUAUAGAAUCCAAGGUGUUAUGAUACGAGCAAAGCAAGAAUACCACAUAAGCAAAGUUACGUUGCCCUACUCUUUUAUUUUUUGAAAUUUUCAUAUUCUCGUACUUAUAUCAUACCAAAUACCGUACCCUAUAUCCAUACCUAUUCAACAUGAAUUGAAAGUUUUACCGGCAGUACAAUCAGGAAGAUACGUGUUUUGUUGGUUGUAAGAAUGUGGGAGACAAGGUGAAGAUUGUUGGGUUAAAUUGUCGACGAAUAGUUUUGCAUCUACUAUCAAUGACCUAAAUGAUAUUGUUUUUGGGCAUGAAUGUAUAUUUUCUACUAGUACUAUGUAACAACUAAGGUUUUAAAAUUUCAGUUUUAGUGAAAAAAUUUCAAAAUUGAAUUAAGACAUUAUAUUAAAAUAAGUGACAUGUUUUUACAUAAAGCAAAAGAAAAAAUAAACUUAAAUACAACUGAGAACCCUAAACUCUAGACUCUUGUAAUCAACUCUCAAGACAAAAACAAUUCUACUCGAAAAUAAGCAAACAUAUCAGAAUCAAUUCUACACCCCGCACUCAAUUUUAGUCCAUGUAAAAAUGGAACCAAAUAUACACAAUACUACUACGGGUCUGUUUGGUAACAUCCAAAAAAGAGCUUAUAACUUAUAAGUUCUUUUGACAAAAAAAGCUCUGUUUGGCAACACUUUUUCACCAUGAGCUUAUAGCUUAUUUCACGAGCUUAUAAGCUAUUUUUCAGAAGCUAUUCCAAGUAGCGUUUGAGCUUAUAACUUAUAGCUUCUCACUUUUAAUUCCAGUUUUACCCUUAUUAUUCUAACUAAAUUUCAUUUUUUACCUUUAAUCAUUUAUUAUAUUAUAAAGUAAAAUACAUAUGUUUUAAAUAUGAAUGCUAUUUUUUUUUAUGAAUGAAAGAUCCUUUUUUUUUCUCAAUAGAAAAAGAUAUUUUUUUUACCGUUACGUAAGUUUUUUUCAUUACAAUUGUUACGUUUUUUUUUGUGGGACUAUUUCAAUAUUUAAUGUCACCUUUUUUUUGCGAAAUGACACGUUAUUUUUGUGUGAUACAUCAAAAUUGUAGAGAAUAAGAACAAGGACAAUAAUUUUCUCCAUAGAAAAAAAAAUGAGAAUGUUACGUUUACCUUCACUAUAUAUAUAUAUUUGUACAAACUAUAUUUUAUUUAUUGUUACGUUUAAACUUUUUUACAUCUUAUAUAAUUUUUUUAGGCAAAUGAAUAUAAAUAUAAAUUAACAUUUAGGAAUUAAAAAUUAAUUUAAUAAUAAUAUUAAAUUAACAAUUUUUAAUUUUUAAAUUCUUUAAAAUUAAUUGGUAUAAACUUUGAAUUAAAAAUGUCAUUUCAUGUAAUUUUACAUCUAUCAGUUAAUUGAACUGCUAAUUUUAUCAAACACUUCAAGUAGUUCAUCAGCUAUAAGCUAUCAGCUAGCUUAUCAAUCAUCCACUAUUUUUACCAAAGAGAGCCUACAUAAGCACAAUGACUCCUACAGUCCAUCUCUGCAUCACUUAGGGCCACUCCUUUCACCCAGAAGAUCAAGCCUCUUCACCUCAUCAUUUGCCACUUUAAUACGCUGUUCCAUAUUCUGACAAUGUGAUCUAUGUCAUUCCUUCAUGUCAUGUUUAAUGAGCUUUAGGUUUUCUUUUCACAUAAAAUUCAUAUGCAAAGAUUUGUCAAACCCCUUUAUAAAAGCAUCUUGUCACAUAUUUGUCCAUAAUGGAAAAUAUCAAAAUAUAUUUUUGUAUUUUGUAUGACUUAUGCAAUCAUAAAUCUCUUCUAGCAACAACAACAUUAUCUUCUUUCCACUCUUAUUUUUCAACAUUAUUAGAUGCUAGUCACAAACCAAACAUAAACUUCCAAAAACAGUUAUAAUUUAUGCAUAGUACUAUUACUAAUAUAUUCACAUGCAUAACUGUAUAAUAUAUUUCACAUGUCAUGCUAAGAAGUUCCUACGUGUCUUGCAUAUAAGAAUUGUCAGAUAUCAUACUCUAGAGUAUGUGGUUCCUCUAUCUAUCCCGUGAUCAAACAGUGAUUCAAAUUCAAUUAUUCUUAUGCAUCCACAUCAACUAGGAACAAACUUCCAAAAUAUACUUGGUAAACUUUUUGGAUUUUUCCUGAAAAAUAAAACUACUUUUAAAUACUUAUCUAUCUAGUAGGUAUGCUUGUGUUUUUCUAUUAUUACAUUUUCAAUUUUUGAGAUACAUUAUAAAAUAUGGAUACUCAUUGGAUUAGGACUAUACCGGUACAUGUCGUUGUCUGUGUUUGUGUCCGUGCUUUAUAGGUGAUACAUAGUUGAAUAGUAAAAUCUUUUUUUUUUUACAAAAGUUGAAUAGUAUAAUCAUAUAAGAUUAUGAAAUUGUAAUAUAUUGUUGAAUAGUAAAAUAAUAUAACAUUUUGUAAUACAUUGUUUAAGAAAACAAACCUGAAACCACAUUUUUUAAUUAGUUAAAGAUUAUAGGUAUUAGCAUGAUUGCACAAAAUAGUCUUUCUUAUUUAGGUAUUUACACAAACCCUAAUUUAAUUUGAUUGUCUUUAUCAUAGACAGCUAAAGGAAACUAGUCUACAAAAUCUUAUUAUUUAGAUUGUUUUCAUAGACAGCUAGAAGAAACAAAGAGCAGUAAAAAGAUAGAGGACUAGAUUCUAUUUUUGUUUUCAACAAGUUUCUUGCACGAUAGUUAACCCUAUUUGAGGCAUUGUGUUACACUAAAUGUGAAAUUUCGUUUGUGUGCACUCAAAACAUAUCAUGUAAUUACACACUCGGUACAUUCCUGGUUCUUCGAUUAAAAUCGGACAAGUCAAAUUUCAACCUCAAUAUUAUAGAUUUUAAAAUGUAUUCAAAACCUGCAACGUCCGAUCUUAAUUCAACAACUAUCGAUGUGUCAACUGUGUUAAUGCACGAGAUUUUGACUGCAUGCAAUCCAAAUCCCUAAAUGUGGAUAACUCUCUCCCUCGGAAUUCAAAUUUUAGUUCGCCACAUUAUGGGUUACUACCUAUUCGCUAGACCCAAUAUCGGUUAGUGGAAUAGUUCAUAUUCAAACAAUGGGUAUUACUAAGUAAAGUAGAACAAGUAACCAUUUUACGGUCGUUUCUGAAGAGAUUUGAACUCAAGUUAGUUGAAGUUAAAAGAUCAAACUCUUAUUACUGAUGUGACAUAUGAUUGAGAAAUAGUGUCUUAAAUAUAUUUAUAUAGACCUUCAUUAUUUAUUUAAAAGCACAAUACAAAUUUGCAUUCCCUUCACAAGAAGACAUUAUUUCUGAAAACUCAAACCUCAUCACAAUGUCUUGGUUCCUUACAAUUCUGUUUCUCAGUCUCACAUUUGGUACUAAUUUUUCAGAAGCAAACCAUGACAACAAGAAGCUUCUUCCUUCACCUGUUGUAGUUGGCACUGUCUACUGUGACACAUGUUUUCAACAAGCUUUCUCUCUAAACAGCCACUUCAUUUCAGGUAAUCCAUUUCAACCUCAAAAGGGUACUUCAAUUUUAUAUCUCUUAAAAUGUUGUAAAAUUUUUCUAAACCUUAUCAUAUUUUAUUUUGUCCUUGUUUUUAUGUAUAGGUGCAUCAAUAGCUGUUGAAUGCAAAAUAGGAAAAACAAAACCAAGAUUCUAUAAAGAAGUGAAAACAAAUGAACAUGGAGAAUUCAAAGUGAAACUACCUUUCUUAGUGAAGAAACAUGUGAAGAGAAUCAAAGGGUGUAAUUUUAAGUUGUUAAGUAGUAAUGAACCAAAUUGUGCUAUAGCCUCAACUUCUACUUCAUCUUCACUAAGCCUAAAGAAAAAGUUGCAACAAGAACACAUUUUUUCAGCUGGGAUUUUCUCAUUCAAGCCUAUAAAAAAACCAAAAUUUUGUGACAAAAAACAUAGUAUUCAUAACCUUAAGAAACAACAUAGUUAUGUGAAAAAUUUGGAACAAUCAAAAUUUUCAAGCAAAAAUAAAGUACCUAAUGAAGUUGAAGAUUUCUUCUUUUUUCCUCCAAACCCUUUUUUUCCACCACCUAUUAUCCCUAAUCCACUUCAACCUCCACCUUUGAUUCCUAACCCUUUGCAACCACCACCUUUGAUUCCAAAUCCAUUUCAACCACCAAGUCCACCCUUGAUUCCUAAUCCAUUUCAACCACCAAGUCCACCACUUAUUCCAAAUCCAUUUCAACCUCCUCCAUCAAAUCCACCACUUAUUCCUAAUCCAUUUCAACCUCCCCCAGCAAGUCCUCCACCACUCAUUCCAAAUCCAUUUCAGCCUCCACCAUCAAGUCCACCACCAUCAUUUCCUUUUCCACCAAUAGUAAUACCAGGUUUAACUCCAUCACCACCGCCGCCGCCACCACCAAAAUCAAUUUUUCCUGCUCCCUUACUUCCUUUUCCUCCACUGUUCCCACCACCUCUUAGCCCUGGCUCACCCCCUACUUCUUCAAGUAAUUUCUCUCCUUGAUUAUUAACAUAUUAUUCCUUCUGGUUCUAUUAAUAAAAAACAUUUGGGUCAACAAAAGUUGAUGUAUUUGGACCAAAUUAUUAACAAGUUACAUCAUAUUUUGCUGACCCAAAUGUUUCUUAUAAAUAAGACCAGAUGGAGUAUAUAAUAUUAUAGUUGUAAAUUGCAAUCUGCAGCUGCAACUUAACAGUUUUAGAGGUCUCCACAAC